GCCUUCGUGGUGUAGUGGUAGUGAGCACACUCGGCUCGUAUUCGAGAGGUCAGUUGGUUCGAGUCUCUGCGACGGUA
rnacentral:tRNA from 1 species